UCCGUAGGUGAACCUGCGGAAGGAUCAUUAGUGAAUUUAGAGCGUAACUUCGGUUAGCUCAACCUUCAUUUUCCAACUCUGUGCACUAUUGGCGGACUGGGAGCAAGUAAUUGCUAUUCAGUCUGCGGCUCACUAUUAAACAUUAGUUAAAGUAUGUAUAUAAAAACAAAACAAAAAAAACUUUCAACAACGGAUCUCUUGGCUCUCGCAUCGAUGAAGAACGCAGCGAAAUGUGAUAAGUAAUGUGAAUUGCAGAAUUCAGUGAAUCAUCGAAUCUUUGAACGCACCUUGCGCUCUCUGGUAUUCCGGAGAGCAUGUCUGUUUGAGUGUCAUGAACUCUUCAACCUACCGAUUUCUAGUAAAUCGGAUUAGUGUUUGGAUUUUGAACGCUUGCUGGCCUUUAUUGGCGAAGCUCGUUCGUAAAUGAUUAGCAUCUCAUAUUCGAAAAUCGGAUUGACUCAGUGUAAUAGACUAUUCGCUGAGGACGCUCUUUCGGGAGUGGCCGAGUUUUGUAAAGUAGAAGCUUCUAAUUCUAUUAGUCAACUUUAGAUUAGACCUCAGAUCAGGCAGGAUUACCCGCUGAACUUAAGCAUAUCAAUAAGCGGAGGA
rnacentral:rRNA from 1 species